AACAUACAUUGAGAAGAUGGAAGCCAUGAAGAAUGAAAAAGCUGAAGGAAAAGACAAUCGAUCAUUCUUGGCUAAAUAUUGGAUGUACAUUAUUCCUGUUGUGCUGAUAAUGCUGUUCUCAGGAGGUGGCCAGGAAGGAGCUCGCUAAACCUCUCAUAGGAGUGUAAAUUAUUUUUAUGAGAACAGUUGAUCUCAUUCACUUCUUUCCUGUUAAGUUUUAGCUUUUGAUUGUAUAUGUGCUAGUGCAGAAAACCUUCUAGAUUUAAUACAGCAUAUAGUUAGUCACUUUUAGCACUGUUAAAACAUUGUACAGAAUAUGCUGUAUGAGGAAUAGUAUCUGUAUGUUCUUUUGAAGUGAAAGUUUGAAUGCAGCAAUUACAGUAUAGUUGCUUGUGUUUAGUUAUGUUUGAUGGAAAAUGGAUGAAUGAUCUUAAAGAAAUUAAAAAACUGUGAAUAAGUACAUGUAGGUAAUUGUAUUGCUAUACAAAUUCAUGUAAAUCUGCUUGUGUGUUUUUACUUAAACUAUAAACAAAUAUGUUAA